AUGGCCGACGCCGGCGUUGUCAACGCCCUGCCCUCUGCGAACGACGCCCAGGAGCACCCCGUCGCCGCGCCGGCCCCCGCCCCCGUUGCUGACGAUGGGAAACGGAAGGCACCCGCCGCCAACGACGACGAAGGAAAAGGCAAGUUGCAACCCUGGGAGGGGCGCCCGUGCGUGGUGCUUGCCCUCGGGGCGGCGACGGCGCCGGUGGAACCCAAGCCCAAGAGACGCCGCCAGGCCAACCGCGCCCCUGCACCGGCCGCCAACAGAGAGCGGUUGGAGUCCCGAGAGGCCCACGUCGCGGCGCAUGCGCUCCCGACGACGCCGGUGGCCCCGCCUGUCUCCGAGAACCACCCGCCGGGCAACAUUCCGCGGAGGCACGCCGGGUAUAGACAUACAUCGGGGUGCGAUGCAUGCGAGUUAGAGCAAGCGCACGGUGGAAGACACUACAUUAAGGCAAGAGGAAGGCCCAGACCACGCCGCGCUCCUCGUUGCGAGCUUGAGUUUGGAAGGUGGUGA
rnacentral:rRNA from 1 species